rnacentral:rRNA from 1 species
AUUGAACGCUGGCGGCAUGCCUAACACAUGCAAGUCGAACGAGUGGCGGACGGGCGAGUAAUGUCUGGGAAACUGCCUGAUGGAGGGGUAUAACUACUGGAAACGGUAGCUACUACCGCAUACCAUCGGAUCUGCCCAGAGGGGAUUAGCUAGUAGGUGGGGUAACGGCUCACCUAGGCGAAGAUACCUAGCUGGUCUGAGAGGAUGACCAGCCACACUGGAACUGAGACACGGUCCAGACUCCUACGGGAGGCAGCAGUGGGGAAUAUUGGACAAUGGGCGAAAGCCUGAUCCAGCAAUGCCGCGUGUGUGAAGAAGGUCUUCGGAUUGUAAAGCACUUUAAGUUGGGAGGCGUUACCAACAGAAUAAGCACCGGCUAACUUCGUGCCAGCAGCCGCGGUAAUAC